CUCUCUGUGUGGUCUGGAACUCUCUGAUGGUCUGGGAACUCUCUGUGGUCUGGGAGCUCUCUGAGUGGUCUGGGAGCUCUCUGAGUGGUAUGGGAGCUCUCUGAGUGGUCUGGGAGCUCUCUGAGUGGUCUGGGAACUCUCUGAGUGGUCUGGAACUCUCUGAGUGGUCUGGGAACUCUCUGAGUGGUCUGGAACUCUCUGAGUGGUCUGGGAGCUCUCUGUGUGGUCUGGAACUCUCUGAGUGGUCUGGAACUCUCUGAGUGGUCUGGAACUCUCUGAGUGGUCUGGGAACUCUCUGAGUGGUCUGGAACUCUCUGUGUGGUCUGGGAGCUCUCUGUGUGGUCUGGAACUCUCUGAGUGGUCUGGAACUCUCUGAGUGGUCUGGAACUCUCUGAGUGGUCUGGAACUCUCUGUGGUCUGGAACUCUCUGAGUGGUCUGGAACUCUCUGUGGUCUGGAACUCUCUGAGUGGUCUGGAACUCUCUGUGGUCUGGAACUCUCUGUGGUCUGGAACUCUCUGAGUGGUCUAGGAGCUCUCUGAGUGGUCUGGGAGCUCUCUGAGUGGUCUGGGAGCUCUCUGAGUGGUCUGGGAGCUCUCUGAGUGGUCUGGGAGCUCUCUGAGUGGUCUGGGAGCUCUCUGAGUGGUCUGGGAACUCUCUGAGUGGUCUGGGAGCUCUCUGAGUGGUCUGGAACUCUCUGAGUGGUCUGGAACUCUCUGAGUGGUCUGGAACUCUCUGAGUGGUCUGGAACUCUCUGAGUGGUCUGGAACUCUCUGUGGUCUGGAACUCUCUGAGUGGUCUGGAACUCUCUGAGUGGUCUGGAACUCUCUGAGUGGUCUGGAACUCUCUGAGUGGUCUGGAACUCUCUGAGUGGUCUGGAACUCUCUGUGGUCUGGAACUCUCUGAGUGGUCUGGAACUCUCUGUGGUCUGGAACUCUCUGAGUGGUCUGGAACUCUCUGAGUGGUCUGGGAGCUCUCUGAGUGGUCUGGAACUCUCUGAGUGGUCUGGAACUCUCUGAGUGGUCUGGAACUCUCUGAGUGGUCUGGAACUCUCUGUGUGGUCUGGAACUCUCUGUGUGGUCUGGAACUCUCUGAGUGGUCUGGAACUCUCUGUGUGGUCUGGAACUCUCUGUGUGGUCUGGAACUCUCUGUGUGGUCUGGAACUCUCUGUGUGGUCUGGAACUCUCUGAGUGGUCUGGAACUCUCUGAGUGGUCUGGAACUCUCUGAGUGGUCUGGAACUCUCUGAGUGGUCUGGAACUCUCUGAGUGGUCUGGAACUCUCUGUGUGGUCUGGAACUCUCUGAGUGGUCUGGAACUCUCUGUGUGGUAUGGGAACUCUCUGAGUGGUAUGGGAACUCUCUGUGUGGUCUGGAACUCUCUGAGUGGUCUGGAACUCUCUGAGUGGUCUGGAACUCUCUGAGUGGUCUGGAACUCUCUGAGUGGUCUGGGAGCUCUCUGAGUGGUCUGGAACUCUCUGAGUGGUCUGGGAACUCUCUGUGGUCUGGAACUCUCUGUGGUCUGGAACUCUCUGAGUGGUCUGGGAGCUCUCUGAGUGGUCUGGGAGCUCUCUGAGUGGUCUGGGAGCUCUCUGAGUGGUAUGGGAGCUCUCUGAGUGGUCUGGAACUCUCUGAGUGGUCUGGGAACUCUCUGAGUGGUCUGGAACUCUCUGAGUGGUCUGGAACUCUCUGAGUGGUCUGGAACUCUCUGUGGUCUGGAACUCUCUGAGUGGUCUGGGAACUCUCUGAGUGGUCUGGGAACUCUCUGAGUGGUCUGGGAACUCUCUGAGUGGUCUGGAACUCUCUGUGGUCUGGAACUCUCUGUGUGGUCUGGAACUCUCUGUGGUCUGGAACUCUCUGUGGUCUGGAACUCUCUGAGUGGUCUGGGAACUCUCUGAGUGGUCUGGGAACUCUCUGAGUGGUCUGGGAACUCUCUGUGGUCUGGGAGCUCUCUGAGUGGUCUGGGAACUCUCUGAGUGGUCUGGGAGCUCUCUGAGUGGUCUGGGAGCUCUCUGAGUGGUCUGGGAGCUCUCUGAGUGGUCUGGGAGCUCUCUGAGUGGUCUGGGAGCUCUCUGAGUGGUCUGGAACUCUCUGACUGGAACUCUCUGAGUGGUCUGGAACUCUCUGAGUGGUCUGGAACUCUCUGUGGUCUGGAACUCUCUGAGUGGUCUGGGAACUCUCUGUGGUCUGGGAGCUCUCUGAGUGGUCUGGGAACUCUCUGAGUGGUCUGGGAGCUCUCUGAGUGGUCUGGGAACUCUCUGAGUGGUCUGGGAACUCUCUGAGUGCGGGCACAUGUCUAGUGGUUAAGCGUGUUGGGCCAGUAACCGAAAAGUCACUGGUUCGAAUUCCAGUGAAAGAUCUGUUGAUGUGCCCUUUAGCAAGGCACUUAACCCUGAUUGCUCCUGUAAGGUGCUCUGGAUAAGAGCGUCAGCUAAAUGACUCAAAUGUUAAAUGUAAAUGUGUCUCUUCAGCACAGCCUCCCUGUUGAGCCAAGUGGGGGCUAUAUGUCUCUUCAGCACAGCCUCCCUGUGGAGUCAAGUGGAGGCUAUGUGUCUCUUCAGCACAGCCUCCCUGUGGAGCCAAGUGGAGGCUAUAUGUCUCUUCAGCACAGCCUCCCUGUGGAGCCAAGUGGAGACUAUGUGUCUCUUCAGCACAGCCUCCCUGUGGAGCCAAGUGGAGGCUAUGUGUCUCUUCAGCACAGCCUCCCUGUGGAGCCAAGUGGAGGCUAUAUGUCUCUUCAGCACAGCCUCCCUGUGGAGCCAAGUGGAGAC
rnacentral:lncRNA from 1 species